rnacentral:rRNA from 1 species
UACGUAGGUGGCAAGCGUUGUUCGGAUUUACUGGGCGUAAAGGGCGCGUAGGCGGUCAGCACAAGUCAGUUGUGAAAUCUCCGGGCUUAACUCGGAAAGGUCAACUGAUACUGUGCGACUAGAGUGCAGAAGGGGCAACUGGAAUUCUCGGUGUAGCGGUGAAAUGCGUAGAGAUCGGAAAGAACACCAACGGCGAAAGCACUCUGCUGGGCCGACACUGACACUGGAGAGACGAAAGCUAGGGGAGCGAAUGGG